rnacentral:rRNA from 1 species
AGUGAACGCUGGCGGUAGGCCUAACACAUGCAAGUCGAACGGCAGCACAGUAAGAGCUUGCUCUUACGGGUGGCGAGUGGCGGACGGGUGAGGAAUACAGCGGAAUCUACUUUUUCGUGGGGGAUAACGUAGGGAAACUUACGCUAAUACCGCAUACGACCUACGGGUGAAAGCAGGGGAUCUUCGGACCUUGCGCGAUUGAAUGAGCCGAUGUCGGAUUAGCUAGUUGGCGGGGUAAAGGCCCACCAAGGCGACGAUCCGUAGCUGGUCUGAGAGGAUGAUCAGCCACACUGGAACUGAGACACGGUCCAGACUCCUACGGGAGGCAGCAGUGGGGAAUAUUGGACAAUGGGCGCAAGCCUGAUCCAGCCAUACCGCGUGGGUGAAGAAGGCCUUCGGGUUGUAAAGCCCUUUUGUUGGGAAAGACAAGCAGCAGGUUAAUACCCCGCUGUUCUGACGGUACCCAAAGAAUAAGCACCGGCUAACUUCGUG